GUCUAAGGCUAUGCUACCCUGAACUAGCCCGAUCCGGUCUCAUCUCGGAAGCUAAGCAGGAUCGGGCCUGGUUAGUAGUACUUGGAUGGGAGACCACCUAGGAAGACCAGGUGCUGUAGGCG
rnacentral:rRNA from 1 species